CGGAGUUCCAGUCUCAGUUAUACGGCCGUCCAGACACAGCUUUGAUUUGCUGGAGACUUGAGGCUCAAAGAGCCCUUACUUUGCUGCAGUUUGUGUGGCAAUUCUGGCUCUUCUUGGCUUUUUUUUGUAUGAGAUUUGACCUGAGCCAAGCCUGGUGUUGCACACCUGUAAUCCAAGCUACUCAGGUCGCGGAGGCAGGAGGAUCACAAGUUUGAGGUCAGCCUGGGCAACACUGUGGGAUGUGGUCUUAAAAAAUAAAAUAGAGGUUUCUUCCCGUUCAGGCACAUGGUGCAGGCUGUGAAGACCCCGUGAGGCCACAUUUGCUCAGUCGCUGCCAGAUUCUAGCAGCCAAGUGCUCAGCGAAGCUGGCUGUGUCUCCCAGGCAUCUCUGCUCGAUAAUACUCGGGUUUACCUACGCACGCGCUAAAGACUUGACCCGUAAGUCUCUUGAAGUGCAGGUGAUUCUGAAGGCUCCCGGGGCCAGAGUGCCUGUGCAGGUUAUGUUUCUACCAUGUGUUCAAGCACCUUCUCCUUCCACCAGCAAGCUUUUCCCGGGAACGGGCUGAGCAUCGGGUACAGGCGAGAAGUGUGUUUCAGCAAGGCAAGGGAGUCUGGAGAGAAAUGCGAGCCUACGCCUGGGUCCGAAGGAAGUCCGGGAGGGGCUGCCAAGGCGAUGGCGGAACAUUUGAGAGCCGAGAACGCACUUGCAGCAUGCUUUGGGACACCGGCUCUCAGACAGACGCCUGCUGAGAGACCGCACUGCAAGGUAGAAAUGAGCCCUGCACGUAGGACCGUCACUCCUGGCUUUAUUAGACGCUCGUUCACGUCAGGGCAGCGCAAGCGCUCUGUCCGUCUGUGGUCUGCUUGCACCCUCUGUCAGGCGUUCCUGCGCAGCUGGCACCUGCA
rnacentral:lncRNA from 1 species